rnacentral:rRNA from 1 species
GAUGAACGCUGGCGGCGUGCCUAAUACAUGCAAGUCGAGCGAACAGACGAGGAAUUUGCUCCUGUGACGUUAGCGGCGGACGGGUGAGUAACACGUGGAUAACCUACCUAUAUGACUGGUAUAACUUCGGGAAACCGGAGCUAAUACCGGGUGAUAUAUUGAACCGCAUGGUUCAAUAGUGAAAGACGGUUUUGCUGUCACUUAUAGAUGGAUCCGCGCCGCAUUAGCUAGUUGGUAAGGUAACGGCUUACCAAGGCAACGAUGCGUAGCCGACCUGAGAGGGUGAUCGGCCACACGGGAACUGAGACACGGUCCAGACUCCUACGGGAGGCAGCAGUAGGGAAUCUUCCGCAAUGGGCGAAAGCCUGACGGAGCAACGCCGCGUGAGUGAUGAAGGUCUUCGGAUCGUAAAACUCUGUUAUUAGGGAAGAACAAAUGUGGAAGUAACUAUGCACGUCUUGACGGUACCUAAUCAGAGAGCCACGGCUAACUACGUG